rnacentral:rRNA from 1 species
UACAGAGACUGCAAGCGUUAUUCGGAUUCACUGGGCGUAAAGGGUGCGCAGGCGGCCGUGUGUGUCAGGUGUGAAAGCCCGGGGCUUAACCCCGGAAUUGCGCCUGAAACUACAUGGCUAGAGCAUUGGAGAGGGUAGCGGAAUUCACGGUGUAGCAGUGAAAUGCGUAGAUAUCGAGAGGAACACCAGUGGCGAAGGCGAGUCUCUGGACGACUCCUGACACUGAGGCACGAAAGCUAGGGGAGCAAACAGG